AUACUUACCUGACGCAGAGGAUACCGUGAUCACAAAGGCGGUUCCUCCAGGGCGAGGCUCUUCCAUUGCACUAUAGGCUCAGUUGACCCCUGCGAAUACCCCUAAUGUGGGUAUCUCGGGCGUAUAAUUUUUGAUAGGUGGGACUGCGUUCGCGCUUUCCCGCA